UACGUAGGGGGCAAGCGUUGUCCGGAUUUAUUGGGCGUAAAGAGCGUGUAGGCGGUCUGGUAGGUCCGUUGUGAAAACUCGAGGCUCAACCUCGAGACGCCGAUGGAAACCCUCAGACUAGAGUCCGGAAGAGGCGAGUGGAACUCCUGGUGUAGCGGUGGAAUGCGCAGAUAUCAGGAGGAACACCAAUUGCGAAGGCAGCUCGCUGGGACGUUACUGACGCUGAGACGCGAAAGCGUGGGGAGCAAACAGG
rnacentral:rRNA from 1 species